AGACGUAGGGGGCCAGCGUUGCUCGGAAUUACUGGGUGUAAAGGGUUCGUAGGCGGUGUGGCAAGUCGGGAGUGAAAUCUCUGGGCUCAACUCAGGGGCUGCUUCCGAAACUGCCGUGCUAGAGUGUGGGAGAGGCGCGUGGAAUUGCAGGUGUAGCGGUGAAAUGCGUAGAUAUCUGCAGGAACACCCGUGGCGAAAGCGGCGCGCUGGACCACUACUGACGCUGAGGAACGAAAGCUAGGGGAGCAAACAGGAUUAGAUACCCUGGUAGUCCUAGCCCUAAACGAUCAGGACUUGGGGUGCCACCCGUUCGGGUGUCGUCCCGGAGCUAACGCGUUAAGUCCUGCACCUGGGGAGUACGGUCGCAAGACUGAAACUCAAAUGAAUUGACGG
rnacentral:rRNA from 1 species